rnacentral:rRNA from 1 species
UAAGACGAACCAAGCGAACGUUAUUCGGAAUUACUGGGCUUAAAGCGCGUGUAGGCGGAUGACCACGUCAGUCGUUGAAAUCCCCCGGCUCAACCGGGGAACAGGCGCUGAUACGAGUUGUCUGGAGGUGGGUAGGGGAGACUGGAACUUCCGGUGGAGCGGUGAAAUGCGUUGAGAUCGGAAGGAACGCCCGCGGCGAAAGCGAGUCUCUGGACCCAUUCUGACGCUGAGACGCGAAAGCCAGGGGAGCAAACGGG